UGCAAACGGCAUGAUUGAGCGGCUGCAUCGCACCCUGAAGGCUGCAAUCAUGGCGCACGGCGAACAGCGUUGGACUGACGCACUCCCAAUGGUUCUCCUGGGUCUCCGAACGGCCUGGAAAGAAGACCUCAAAUGUUCUGCCGCUGACCUGCUGUAUGGUGAGCCAUUGAGGAUUCCCGGACAAUAAUUCUCCGAAGGGGGUGAUGUGGCGGCACGCCACGUCCCAUCACUAGCGGAGGCUACACCCAUCACUACGCGCGCCACCACUCCAGGCGUGCGAGGGGCAUGCAAGCGGUGCGGGUGUGCCGCGGCCGAGGGGCGAGGAACCGGGCCCCAGUCGACCGGCGCCCGCGCCAGUGCUACGCAAAUCGCUUCCCGCGCAAGACCUAUGUCGCUUCGCCGCUCCGCCGCCUUGCUUAUUACGCGCUUAGCUUAUGCUUAUAAUAUACUUAAGUUGUAAAUACUGUGCAGAAACGAACAUUAUACGUUUAUAUGUGGA